AAAGCAGUAAAAUUAAAACCAUGUUAAGAAGUAGUUUAGUUUGAUAGCUCAUAUAUUAAGCAAAAAGUAUUAAUCUUAACAGGAAAACACAAAGCUUUUACACGGAAAAAGUUUUAGUAAGUAAAUAUUAAAUUAAGAUUUUUAUUGAAUGCAGUCAUAACAAUACUUUUUUUUAAAAAAAAAAGAAAAAAUCUGUUUUCCUACUUCCCCCUAGAAAUUAAUUAAAAUUGUUAAGAAACCAUUUAAAUUACUAUAGCAUUCAAAAGGAAGCAUUUGAAAAGUGGAAGUGCUUUUGCACAGAAGAAAAAAAGCAGGUUCUGGGCUUUUAUUAAUGAAUGCAAGCAGGAAUACAAGUUUCCAGGUAACAGGACAAUACUGUCAAGCAUUACUACUUUGAUGAAGUUAUACACUGCAGAGUAAGCACAGAAUUAUCUUUCAUGUUAUAGUAGCUAAGCCAAGAAGGUAACAGCACUAGAUGAAUCAACAAAAGUUAAGUGGCUCCUUAAUAAUACUUUAAUUUCUAAGACUCUUGUAAUUACCCAGGAAAAAAAUCACCAUCGUGCUGCUAAAGCGGUUUUUUAUUUGUUUGUGGGUCUUUUUGAUUUAGGGUUUUGUAUUUUUGUGUUUUUGUUUUUUUUCCUUUAUCUCUGCCUUGGGACUAGCAAACAAAAUGCUGCUUUGCAGAAACCAGCGGAUGGUUGAUAGUCCUGCAGGAGAUGUACUUUUCCUCUUUACAGUAAGAACAAGCUACAGUCUUAACUGUAUCUUCUGGAAAAUAAGUUUUGCAUGGAGUGAGACUAUGCCAUCUUUCCUUAUGGAGCUCCCAGUUUGCAGUCCCAUAUUGUGAUGCAUACUCUACAGGGUUCAAUUGCCUUCAUGUCCACCCUGUGGUCCUGUUCUCCAAUCCUAAACAUUCGCCAGCGUCGACCAUCAUCUUUGUCCUCUGCUGCAGUGUAUUCAGAAAAUGAAGGCAGCAGCAUUAAAGGAAGAAAAGACAGAAACCCUUUUCAGCACUUUUAAAAACAAGAUGAACACGAAGCGAUCCCUUUCCAGACCACAAAGAAACAUGCUACAAAACCUGCUCAAGGCUACUAUAUUAAUGGAAAUCACUUCAAGAUUAUUAUUGAGUGUUAGUUCACCAGAAAGAUAAAGAGGUAGCUUAUUCCAGAUGUUAUGCAUUUGAUUUGA